rnacentral:rRNA from 1 species
GAUGAACGCUGGCGGCGUGCCUAAUACAUGCAAGUCGAGCGAACAGACGAGGAGCUUGCUCCUCUGACGUUAGCGGCGGACGGGUGAGUAACACGUGGAUAACCUACCUAUAAGACUGGGAUAACUUCGGGAAACCGGAGCUAAUACCGGAUAAUAUAUUGAACCGCAUGGUUCAAUAGUGAAAGACGGUUUUGCUGUCACUUAUAGAUGGAUCCGCGCCGCAUUAGCUAGUUGGUAAGGUAACGGCUUACCAAGGCAACGAUGCGUAGCCGACCUGAGAGGGUGAUCGGCCACACUGGAACUGAGACACGGUCCAGACUCCUACGGGAGGCAGCAGUAGGGAAUCUUCCGCAAUGGGCGAAAGCCUGACGGAGCAACGCCGCGUGAGUGAUGAAGGUCUUCGGAUCGUAAAACUCUGUUAUUAGGGAAGAACAAAUGUGUAAGUAAAUAUGCACGUCUUGACGGUACCAAAUCAGAAAGCCACGGCUAACUACGUG